GAUGAACGCUCGCUACAGGCUUAACACAUGCAAGUCGAGGGGAAACGGCAUUAAGUGCUUGCACUUUUUGGACGUCGACCGGCGCACGGGUGAGUAACGCGUAUCCAACCUGCCCCUUACCAGGGAAUAACCCGUUGAAAGACGGACUAAUGCCCUAUGCAGUCCUUUGACGGCAUCAGAUUAGGACUCAAGAUUCAUCGGUAUGGGAUGGGGAUGCGUCUGAUUAGCUUGUUGGCGGGGUAACGGCCCACCAAGGCAUCGAUCAGUAGGGGUUCUGAGAGGAAGGUCCCCCACAUAGGAACUGAGACACGGUCCUAACUCCUACGGGAGGCAGCAGUGAGGAAUAUUGGGCAAUGGGCGGUAGCCUGAACCAGCCAAGUAGCGUGCAGGAUGACGGCCCUAUGGGUGGUAAACUGCUUUUAGGCGGGGAUAAAGUCACCCACGUGUGGGUGUUUGCAGGUACCGAAUGAAUAAGGACCGGCUAAUUCCGUG
rnacentral:rRNA from 1 species